rnacentral:rRNA from 1 species
UGCGCAGGCGGACUAAUAAGUCAGAGGUGAAAUCCCACAGCUCAACUGUGGAACUGCCUUUGAUACUGUUAGUCUUGAGUGCAGUUGAGGUAGGCGGAAUGUGUCAUGUAGCGGUGAAAUGCUUAGAUAUGACACAGAACACCAAUCGUGAAGACAGCUUACCAAGCUGCUACUGACGCUCAGGCACGAAAGCGUGGGGAGCGAACAGGAUUAGAUACCCUGGUAGUCC